rnacentral:rRNA from 1 species
GACGAACGCUGGCGGCGUGCUCAACACAUGCAAGUCGAACGGAAAGGCCCUGCUUUUGUGGGGUGCUUGAGUGGCGAACGGGUGAGUAACACGUGAGUAACCUGCCCUUGACUUUGGGAUAACUUCAGGAAACUGGGGCUAAUACCGGAUAGGAGCUCCUGCUGCAUGGUGGGGGUUGGAAAGUUUCGGCGGUUGGGGAUGGACUCGCGGCUUAUCAGCUUGUUGGUGGGGUAGUGGCUUACCAAGGCUUUGACGGGUAGCCGGCCUGAGAGGGUGACCGGCCACAUUGGGACUGAGAUACGGCCCAGACUCCUACGGGAGGCAGCAGUGGGGAAUAUUGCACAAUGGGCGGAAGCCUGAUGCAGCAACGCCGCGUGCGGGAUGACGGCCUUCGGGUUGUAAACCGCUUUCGCCUGUGACGAAGCGUGAGUGACGGUAAUGGGUAAAGAAGCACCGGCUAACUACGUG